rnacentral:lncRNA from 1 species
GACACUCGAAUAAAAUCUUUCGCUACAUAACUCAGCCGAGUUUUUGCAGGUGCCUAACAGAUGUCAACUAAAUUAUACAAUACAUUGUAAUGGACUAGUGGGAGUACUACUUAUGAUUUUCUAUUGGAAAUUUUUAAAUUAAAUCAUUGAUGUAUAAUGUUUUAGAUUUGAAACUAACAUUUUAUUGACUUCAAUUGAUUAAUGGUCAAUCAUCAAUAUGCGAGCUAGUAUAUAUGACUAGUUUGGAAACCCCAAUAAUGAAAAAGGUGGUUUUAAAACCACUGAACUAGAAGACAGAGAUGCUGUUACAAAAAAAAAAAAAAAAAAGACAGAGAUGCUAGAAAGCUCUUAACACAUUCUUUAUAGUUGUGUAUACUUAUCAUAUCUCUUUCCAGCUGGGAUCCUAUCGAUCAUACAAACUUAGAAACAUAACACAACGUCCAAGAAAUUGUUGCGGCCAAGACCACUGAGAUUGUGAAAAGAGCGUUGGUUCCAGAACUAUUGAUAGUUACCUCUGCCACGACAGUUUAUUUGUUUGUGUUCGAGUAAUCUUGUUUCCUGUUUUAUCACUCCUAAAUUAUCGUUUCUCAACCAAGCACUAUCC